AAUUCCAAACGAACUUGGAGAUAGCUGGUUCUCUCCGAAAUAGCUUUAGGGCUAGCCUCGCAAAGAGGAUGCUGGAGGUAGAGCUCUGUUUGGACUAGGGGCCCGUCAAGGGUUACUGAAUUCAGAUAAACUGCGAAUUCCAGACAUUUAUGUGCGGGAGUCAGACUGCGAGUGAUAAGAUCCGUAGUCGAAAGGGAAACAGCCCAGAUCACCAGUUAAGGUCCCAAAAUUCAUGCUAAGUGGAAAAGGAUGUGGAGUUGCGCAGACAACUAGGACGUUGGCUCAGAAGCAGCCAUCAUUCAAAGAGUGCGUAAUAGCUCACUAGUCGAGUGACGCCGCGCCGAAAAUUUACCGGGGCUAAGCAUGAUACCGAAACUGUGGAUGUGCGUUUAUGCACGUGGUAGGAGAGCGUUCUAGCGGCGGUGAAGCAUGACCGAGAGGACAUGUGGAGCUUCUAGAAGUGAGAAUGCCGGUAUGAGUAACGAAAGACAGGUGAGAAUCCUGUCCGCCGCAAGACUAAGGUUUCCUGGGGCAGGCUCGUCCGCCCAGGGUAAGUCGGGACCUAAGGCGAGGCCGAGAGGCGUAGUCGAUGGACAACAGGUUGAAAUUCCUGUACUGCACCGAAUCGUUAUGAGCGAUGGAGGGACGCAGGAGGCUAGCAGCGCGUGGUGCUGGAUACCACGUUCAAGCGUCAAGUCUGAGAGUGAGUCAAAUGCUUGCUCUCAUAAGGACAAGGCGUGAUGAGGAGCGAAAUUAAAGUAGCGAAGGCUGCGACGUCACACUGCCGAGAAAAGCUUCUAGCCAGAGACGGUGCACCCGUACCGCAAACCGACACAGGUAGUCGAGGAGAGUAUCCUCAGGUGAGCGAGAGAACUCUCGUUAAGGAACUCGGCAAAAUGGCCCCGUAACUUCGGGAGAAGGGGCGCUGGUCGCAAGAUCAGCCGCAGUGAAAAGGCCCAAGCAACUGUUUAUCAAAAACACAGGCAUCUGCAAAAUCGUAAGAUGAAGUAUAGGUGCUGACACCUGCCCGGUGCUGGAAGGUUAAGAGGAGAGCUUAGCGCAAGCGAAGGUUUGAAUUGAAGCCCCAGUAAACGGCGGCCGUAACUAUAACGGUCCUAAGGUAGCGAAAUUCCUUGUCGGGUAAGUUCCGACCUGCACGAAAGGUGUAAUGAUUUGGGCACUGUCUCAACGAGAGACUCGGUGAAAUUAUAAUACCCGUGAAGAUGCGGGUUACCCGCGACAGGACGGAAAGACCCCAUGGAGCUUUACUGCAGUUUAAUAUUGGGUAUCUGUCAAGCAUGUACAGGAUAGGUAGGAGCCGGAGAAGAUAGGACGCCAGUCUUAUCAGAGGCGCUGUUGGGAUACUACCCUUGCUUGACGGAUGCUCUAACUCAGGCCUGUGAUCCAGGCCGAGGACAGUGUUUGACGGGCAGUUUGACUGGGGCGGUCGCCUCCUAAAGUGUAACGGAGGCGCCCAAAGGUUCCCUCAGAAUGGUUGGAAAUCAUUCGCAGAGUGUAAAGGUAAAAGGGAGCUUGACUGCGAGAGAGACAACUCGAGCAGGUACGAAAGUAGGGCUUAGUGAUCUGGUGGUACCGUAUGGAAGGGCCAUCACUCAACGGAUAAAAGCUACCCUGGGGAUAACAGGCUUAUCUCCCCCAAGAGUUCACAUCGACGGGGAGGUUUGGCACCUCGAUGUCGGCUCGUCGCAUCCUGGGGCUGAAGUCGGUCCCAAGGGUUGGGCUGUUCGCCCAUUAAAGCGGCACGCGAGCUGGGUUCAGAACGUCGUGAGACAGUUCGGUCCCUAUCCGUCGUGGGCGUAGGAAAUUUGAGAGGAGCUGUCCUUAGUACGAGAGGACCGGGAUGGACGCACCGCUGGUGUACCAGUUGUCUUGCCAAAGGCAUCGCUGGGUAGCUAUGUGCGGACGGGAUAAGCGCUGAAAGCAUCUAAGUG
rnacentral:rRNA from 1 species